CUUUUGCAUCAUGAUUUAGCAAGUACCCCCAAGCAAAGCGAUCUUUAGUUUGCACCCCCGAAACUUGGCGAGCUACUCCAAGACAGCCUAUUUUAGGGCAAACCCGUCUCUGUGGCAAAAGAGUGGGAAGAGCUUCGAGUAGAGGUGACAGACCUACCGAGCCCAGUUAUAGCUGGUUGCCUGAGAAAUGAAUAGAAGUUCAACCUUUUGGAUGCUCCCACCUUCUAGAAAUACCUUUUCUCCCUGGCCAAGAGCACACCAAAAGAGCUAUUCGAGGGAGGGACAGCUCUCUCGAAUGAAGACACAACUUUUUUAGAAGGCUAAAGACUAAACUAAACAAGGCAAACACCAAGGUGGGCCUAAAAGCAGCCA
rnacentral:rRNA from 1 species